AACGAACGCUGGCGGCGCGCCUAAUACAUGCAAGUCGAGCGAGAAGACGUAGCAAUACGUUUGUAAAGCGGCGAACGGGUGAGGAAUACAUGGGUAACCUACCCUCGAGUGGGGAAUAACUAGCCGAAAGGUUAGCUAAUACCGCGUACGCUCCUUGGACUUCGGUUCAGGGAGGAAAGCGAUACCGUGGGUAUCGCGCUCUUGGAUGGGCUCAUGUCCUAUCAGCUUGUUGGUGAGGUAACGGCUCACCAAGGCUUCGACGGGUAGCUGGUCUGAGAGGACGAUCAGCCACACUGGCACUGCGACACGGGCCAGACUCCUACGGGAGGCAGCAGUAAGGAAUAUUGCGCAAUGGGCAAAGCCUGACGCAGCGACGCCGCGUGGGGGAUGAAGGUC
rnacentral:rRNA from 1 species